rnacentral:lncRNA from 1 species
UCUCACUAUUCUUCAAUUUCAAAUUGACUUGAGCAUCGAAGGAUCUCCAUCGAAAGAUAUUUCUAUCAGAGAGUCUUUGGAGGUCUAGCUCCAGCACCCAGGAGUUAUCCUCUUUAGCACCUCAUCUCUAGCCGAAGAUCUUUCUCCUCAUCUUUUUUCGAGGAGCCCCAAUUGAGGAGUUUACUAACUAGCCUUCGUUUGAGGAG